rnacentral:rRNA from 1 species
GACGAACGCUGGCGGCGUGCCUAAUACAUGCAAGUCGAACGAGAAUUUCUUACAUCGAGUGCUUGCACUCAUCGUAAGAAAUUCGAGUGGCGGACGAGUGAGUAACACGUGGGUAACCUGCCCAAAGAAGGGGGAUAACAUUUGGAAACAAAUGCUAAUACCGUAUAACCAUGAUGACCGCAUGGUCAUUAUGUAAAAGGUGGUUCUGCUAUCGCUUUUGGAUGGACCCGCGGCGUAUUAACUAGUUGGUAGGGUAACGGCCUACCAAGGUGAUGAUACGUAGCCGAGUUGAGAGACUGAUCGGCCACAAUGGGACUGAGACACGGCCCAUACUCCUACGGGAGGCAGCAGUAGGGAAUCUUCCACAAUGGGCGCAAGCCUGAUGGAGCAACGCCGCCGUGAUGAAGAGG